rnacentral:rRNA from 1 species
UGCCCGCUGGCGGCGUGCCUAAUACAUGCACGUCGAGCGACCAGACGCGGAGCUUGCUCCUCUGACGUUAGCGGCGGACGGGUGAGUAACACGUGGAUAACCUACCUAUAAGACUGGGAUAACUUCGGGAAACCGGAGCUAAUACCGGAUAAUAUAUUGAACCGCAUGGUUCAGUAGUGAAAGACGGUUUUGCUGUCACUUAUAGAUGGAUCCGCGCCGCAUUAGCUAGGUGGUAAGGUAACGGCUUACCAAGGCGACGAUGCGUAGCCGACCUGAGAGGGUGAUCGGCCACACUGGAACUGAGACACGGUCCAGACUCCUACGGGAGGCAGCAGUAGGGAAUCUUCCGCAAUGGGCGAAAGCCUGACGGAGCAACGCCGCGUGAGUGAUGAAGGUCUUCGGAUCGUAAAACUCUGUUAUUAGGGAAGAACAAAUGUGUAAGUAACUAUGCACGUCUUGACGGUACCUAAUCAGAAAGCCACGGCUAACUACGUG